rnacentral:rRNA from 1 species
GUUGCAAAGAACUUUGAAGAGAGAGUUCAAGAGUACGUGAAACUGCUGAGAGGCAAACUGGUGGGCCCUCGAAAUCCCGUCUGCGGGGAGAUUCAGUCGGGUGUCGGCGGCCGUCUCGCAAUGGGUCUGUCGCAACCGAAGAUCGGGGCACAUUCCGAGAGGCGAGUUCGCCGGAACCCGACGCAUUUCCCGCCCGCACGAAAGGACGCCGCAGCCGGUCGGGUAGCUGCGCGUGUCGGCCAUGAGGACGUGGCRACGGCAGGUGACCGGCGGCCCUAGGCUUCUCCGGAGGCACUAACGGUCGACGGUUGAUUAGCCGGCUCGUCCGUGGCGCGACACCCGACCGAGGAAACACGGACUAAAUAKUUUCUCUCCACGGAGAGAAACYKAUAAUCCACUACUUUCAAUACGAGAGCGAGCCGUCGGACAGGCGCGUUCCUGCGUGGUCGGACAGUCACCGCACUGGUYGAUCUGGUGGGAGCGCGUCGUUGGUUUCCGAGUCAGGAUCUCGCGGAGGAGGAUGAAGGCUGGCGGCGAGUAGGUCGGUAACCCACCCGACCCGUCUUGAAACACGGACCAAGGAGUCUAACAUGUGCGCAAGUCGCGGGGUCUUGCUCAGGCCCAGAGGCGAAAUGAAAGUGAAGGCCGCCGCUCUCCCUCGUUCACUCGGGGGCGGAGUGAGGCGGCCCGGUUGGGACUCGCACGUGACACGGCACGUGAACGAAGCACCAACGACCCGCCCUGUUCUAUCUUCUGGAUAGGAACUCAAACGGAGUUCGAGCGCACACGUUGGGACCCGAAAGAUGGUGAACUAUGCCUGGGCAGGACGAAGCCAGAGGAAACUCUGGUGGAGGUCCGCAGCGGUUCUGACGU